AGUCGAGCGAGAGUCACGGUGUGAGCAAUCAUGUUGUGACUCUAGCGGCGCACGGGUGAGUAACACGUGGGUGACCUGCCCUCGAGUCCGGGAUACCUCCUCGAAAGGGGGGCUAAUACUGGAUACUUUCCUCGGGUCGCAAGACCUGGGGAGAAAAGGUAGCUCGCAAGGGCUGCCGCUCGUGGAGGGGCUCGCGGCCUAUCAGCUAGUUGGUAGGGUAACGGCCUACCAAGGCGAUGACGGGUAGCUGGUCUGAGAGGACGGCCAGCCACACGGGGACUGGGACACGGCCCCGACUCCUACGGGAGGCAGCAGUGGGGAAUUUUCCGCAAUGGGCGAAAGCCUGACGGAGUGACGCCGCGUGGGGGACGAAGGCCUUCGGGUCGUAAACCCCUGUCAGAGGGAAAGAUGGGUGUCGGCGUGAACAGCGCCGGCAUCUGACGGUACCUUCAGAGGAAGCCCCGGCCAACUCUGUGCCAGCAGCCGCGGUAAGACAGAGGGGGCAAGCGUUGCUCGGAAUUACUGGGCGUAAAGGGCGUGUAGGCGGAGCGGCAAGUCGGUCGUGAAAGCCUCUGGCUCAACUGGAGAACGUCGAUCGAUACUGCCGUCCUUGAGGGUAGCAGAGGAGACUGGAAUUCCCGGUGUAGCGGUGAAAUGUGUAGAGAUCGGGA
rnacentral:rRNA from 1 species